rnacentral:ncRNA from 2 species
CGCUCAUCCAGAGGGGCAGAGGGACACGGCCCGAUGAAGCCCCGGCAACCCUCCAGCCGAUACUCGUAGAUCAACCUGAUCAGGUCUGAUCGCUCCGCGAGGCUCCCGGCUAGGGAAGGUGCCAAAUCCGUCUCAUGGCGAGAUGCGUCAUGAGGAAGAUGAGGA